GAUGAACGCUGGCGGCGUGCCUAAUACAUGCAAGUCGAGCGAACAGACGAGGAGCUUGCUCCUCUGACGUUAGCGGCGGACGGGUGAGUAACACGUGGAUAACCUACCUAUAAGACUGGGAUAACUUCGGGAAACCGGAGCUAAUACCGGAUAAUAUAUUGAACCGCAUGGUUCAAUAGUGAAAGACGGUUUUGCUGUCACUUAUAGAUGGAUCCGCGCCGCAUUAGCUAGUUGGUAAGGUAACGGCUUACCAAGGCGACGAUGCGUAGCCGACCGGAGAGGGUGAUCGGCCACACUGGAACUGGGACACGGUCCAGACUCCUACGGGAGGCAGCAGUAGGGAAUCUUCCGCAAUGGGCGAAAGCCUGACGGAGCAACGCCGCGUGAGUGAUGAAGGUCUUCGGAUCGUAAAACUCUGUUAUUAGGGAAGAACAAAUGUGUAAGUAACUAUGCACGUCUUGACGGUACCUAAUCAGAAAGCCACGGCUAACUACGUG
rnacentral:rRNA from 1 species